rnacentral:lncRNA from 1 species
GUUACUUUACAAAGACGGCUCUGAUUGGGUGCGAAAAAACCCUGGUUUUUAGAGAAGUGAAGUAAAGUACUAACUCUCGAAAGUACAAUUAACACAGAAAGAAACCAACAAAAAAGAGAACAGAUUGCUUGAUUCGGCUUUGAACGAAAUGGGUUGAGUCAGCCCUGUGGAGAAUAGAAACGUCAAUAUGAGGGAGAUCCGAAACUCUGUUCAAGCGUAGACACAACC